UUGAGCCACUGAUGAUAAAAGUUAUCCCUGUCUGAACUUCAGUGUGGACACACGGUAACCUGAGGCUCGA
rnacentral:snoRNA from 1 species